AGCGAACGCUGGCGGCAGGCCUAACACAUGCAAGUCGAACGAACCUUUCGGGGUUAGUGGCGGACGGGUGCGUAACACGUGGGAACGUGCCUUUAGGCACGGAAUAACACAGGUAAACUUGUGCUAAUACCGAAUGUGCUCUUCGGGGGAAAGAUUAAGCGCCUGUAGAGCGGCCGGCGUCUGAUUAGCUAGUUGGGUGAGGUAAUGGCGCACCAAGGCUACGAUCAGUAGCUGGUCUGAGAGGAAGAUCAGCCACAUUGGGACUGAGACACGGCCCAAACUCCUGCGGGAGGCAGCAGUGGGGAAUCUUGCGCAAUGGGCUAAAGCCUGACGCAGCCAUGCCGGGUGAAUGAUGAAGGUCUUAGGAAAGUAAAAUUCUUUCACCGGGGACGAUAAUGACGGUACCCGGAGAAGAAGCCCCGGCUAACUUCGUG
rnacentral:rRNA from 1 species